GGUCCUUUUUGGCCAGGUCGGGCUUCAGGAUUUCGUAAAUUUUGGCGGCGCCUUCCACAUUGGCCGCAAAAUCGUACAAGUCGGUAUGGGAGUAC
rnacentral:tRNA from 1 species